rnacentral:rRNA from 1 species
GAUGAACGCUGGCGGCGUGCUUAACACAUGCAAGUCGAACGAGAAUCAACGGAUUGAGGAUUCGUCCAAAUGAAGUUGAGGAAAGUGGCGGACGGGUGAGUAACGCGUGAGGAACCUGCCUCGGAGUGGGGAAUAACAGUUGGAAACAGCUGCUAAUACCGCAUAAUGCAACGGAAUCGCAUGACUCUGUUGCCAAAGAUUUAUCGCUCUGAGAUGGCCUCGCGUCUGAUUAGCUAGUUGGCGGGUAACGCCCACAAGGCGACGAUCAGUAGCCGGACUGGGAGGUUGGCCGGCCACAUUGGGACUGGAGACACGGCCCAG